GUCCUUCAAUAUGUUUAGUCCUGUUUAGUCCUUCCAUAUGUUUAGUCCUGUUUAGUCCUUCAAUAUGUUUAGUCCUUCCAUAUGUUCAGUCCUUCCAUAUGUUUAGUCCUUCAAUAUGUUUAGUCCUGUUUAGUCCUUCAAUAUGUUUAGUCCUUCAAUAUGUUUAGUCCUUCAAUAUGUUUAGUCCUUCCAUAUAUUUAGUCCUUCCAUAUGUUUAGUCCUGUUUAGUCCUUC
rnacentral:lncRNA from 1 species